rnacentral:tRNA from 3 species
GGGCAGGUGGCCGAGUGGUUAAAGGCGACAGACUGUAAAUCUGUUCUCUUCGGAGUUCGGAGGUUCGAAUCCUCCCCUGCCCACCA